UACGUAGGGGGCAAGCGUUUGUCCGGAUUUAUUGGGCGUAAAGAGCGUGUAGGCGGUUAGGUAGGUCCGUUGUGAAAACUCGAGGCUCAACCUCGAGACGCCGAUGGAAACCAUCUAACUAGAGUCCGGAAGAGGAGAAUGGAAUUCCUGGUGUAGCGGUGAAAUGCGCAGAUAUCAGGAAGAACACCCCGUGGCUAAGGCGGUUCUCUAGUACGGUACUGACGCUGAGACGCGAAAGCGUGGGGAGCGAACAGG
rnacentral:rRNA from 1 species